rnacentral:lncRNA from 10 species
CCUAAGUAACUUUAGGAAUGAGUGGAGUCCGUUAAGACGAAAGGCAAAAGAAACUGUAUGUAAGCACUGACAUCUGGUUGAUAAAGUUGCUUCUCAUGGGGAUCCACGUUAACCACUCUAAUACCACUAUAUGUGUACAUUGCAGUUGAACAAUUGAGUGGAUGAAUGGCAGAUGGUGGGAGCCAGGUUUCAGGUUGUAGUGGAAAGUUACAGGUAAGCAAGGGGAGGUCUACAGUGACCCAUAUGACAAUGAAUUAGAGUUAUAGACAUCAGUAUGAAUUCAUGUUUAGCUUAAUAUAGAUACAGAUGGUUACACAUAGAAGUCAGCACACAUGGGCUGGGUGCAGUGGCCCAUGCACUUCAGGAGCAUAAGGCAGGCAGAUCACGAGGUCAGGAGUUGGAGACCAGCCUGGUCAACAUGGGGAAACCCCAUCUCUACUAAAAAUACGAAAAUUAGCCGGGCAUGUUGGCAGGUGCCUGUAAUCCCAGCUACUCAGGAGGCUGAGGCAGGAGAAUCGCUUGAACCUGGGAGGCGGAGGUUGCAGUGAGCCGAGAUUGUGCCACUGCACUCCAGCUUGGGCGACAGAGUGUGAGCUCAGUCUCAAAAAAAAGAAGUCAGCACACACACAUAUACCUCCUUGCCCUAUCAGCUGAGAGGGCCUAGAACCAAUGGCACCCCAGUAUCAACAAGCACAUCUAGCACCAAGAUUUUGGUUUUCAACACCAUGCACCAACGAAAGGAACCAGGGAUACUUGAAGAAAUGGCUGAUUCUAGGACUUGGUCAGGGAACAUAUAAGAUGAGCCUGGAGUAUCUUGUAGAACCAGAAGGUUAAAAAAAAAAAAAGUGCUCAAAACACAAAUACAACACCAAGACCCACAAUAAUGGGGUCUAGCAAAGGGACACAGAAGCCAAAUGAGAGAGCGCUCAAUGGGCGAAGCUGGAACAAUUUGAGCAACAAGAUUAAUAAAUCAGUAUUUGAUUACAACUCAAAGUAUUAAAA